GAAGCAACGCGAAGAACCUUACCAGGUCUUGACAUCCUCUGACAACCCUAGAGAUAGGGCUUUCCCUUCGGGGACAGAGUGACAGGUGGUGCAUGGUUGUCGUCAGCUCGUGUCGUGAGAUGUUGGGUUAAGUCCCGCAACGAGCGCAACCCUUGAUCUUAGUUGCCAGCAUUUAGUUGGGCACUCUAAGGUGACUGCCGGUGACAAACCGGAGGAAGGUGGGGAUGACGUCAAAUCAUCAUGCCCCUUAUGACCUGGGCUACACACGUGCUACAAUGGACAGAACAAAGGGCUGCGAGACCGCAAGGUUUAGCCAAUCCCAUAAAUCUGUUCUCAGUUCGGAUCGCAGUCUGCAACUCGACUGCGUGAAGCUGGAAUCGCUAGUAAUCGCGGAUCAGCAUGC
rnacentral:rRNA from 1 species